rnacentral:lncRNA from 1 species
AUGAUUUUAAUGGAAGGUCAGAUGUGGACAGAAGAGUUUCAUCUCAACUCGCCUCACCACUACAGAUCCAAGCCUAACACAGAGCCUAACAGAAUGUUUUUAUUUUUUUUACUUCUAUUUAAGAGAGCAAGGCUGGUCCAAGCAUGUUAUGACUGAGGUAAUUGCUUCUCCCUAUUUUUUACUAAGAUAUUUGUUCAUAGUUCACAAUUUGGCCAUUGACAACAAAAACUAACAAAUAUCAGGAAGUCUAUGACCUCUACAUCAUGGCAUUUACUGAUUAAGGUAGAAUAAUAGUUAAUAAGUACUUCAUAGCAAAAAUAAAUAAUUGGAAUGCAUAAAAGAUCAUGGAGGCUAAUGGAGUGUUAUAAACAUAUCCACAAAAGAUCUUUAGACACAUGAUGAUACAAUAUCCUCUGCUUCAACUAUGAAACAAAGUUGGUUGCAAGACAUGUCAUACAUUAAAGGGAAACGUUUUGUAUAAAAUAUAAUCUGCCAUUUUUUAACACUGAUGAGAAGCACCUGAUUUCAGAAUUUAAAAACUAAGUGUAUCUUAUCUAUUUUUUAAUCCUGUGCAUCACAACUAAUAACUGAACAGAAUUCAUUUGUAU